AUACAUAGGGGGCGAGCGUUAUCCGGAUUUAUUGGGCGUAAAGGGUGCGUAGGCGGUAAAUUAAGUCUAAGGUUAAAGUGCAGGGCUCAACCCUGUGAUGCCUUAGAAACUGGUUUACUUGAGUUUGGUAGAGGUAAGUGGAACUCCAUGUGUAGCGGUAAAAUGCGUAAAUAUAUGGAAGAACACCAGUGGCGAAGGCGGCUUACUGGGCCACAACUGACGCUGAGGCACGAAAGCGUGGGGAGCAAACAGGAUUAGAUACCCUGGUAGUCCACGCUGUAAACGAUGAAUACUAAGUGUUGGAAAAAUCCAGUGCUGAAGUUAACGCAUUAAGUAUUCCGCCUGAGUAGUACGUACGCAAGUAUGAAACUCAAAGGAAUUGACGGGG
rnacentral:rRNA from 1 species